GUCCAGGGGCGGGAAUCGAACCCACAACCUUCUGCUUACCGGGCAGGUGCCAUGUCCACUAGGCUACCUUGGA